UUGUCAUGGCCUCCAUAUCCUCCGUGAGACACAUUCAGGAUCCACGACGCAGUAAAGAGGAGAGUUCAUCCUGGUGCAACAUGGCUCACCUAUGCACCAGUCCGACUUCUAAUAAGCCAUGGUGGGUAUCAUCUGGAUUGGUGUUGUAUAAAUGUAACAAUAACAAGUUUUUCGUGUCCUAAUUUAUGUCUGGCCAUACAUUGUGUUUGUACUUCCAGACACAUUUCACGAAGCAGAACGCAGUCUUCAGAAAUAUCUAAGUGAACACUGUGAUACGUCUGACCUUCAGUCCGAAGCUGAAACUCAGACCAGUCAUAAAAGAAAGCACAAACCAAAUCCCCUGUACACAUAUAGUGACUCAGAGGAUGAGCAGCCCACAAAAAAAUGGUUUCCCCAGGCCCCUCGAGUGAAAAUACCAGACCUGACGAGAGCUGUUAACGAACUCCGUGAGGAGGUCAGAGCCAUCCGCAAUACCGGCUGCAAUGAAUCGGUAGAUGCUGGGGUACUGCCUCUGGAUUUGCCCUUGCACAACAUUGAGGAGCUAAACAAUGCAGAGCCAGCUCUUCAAUCACAAGAGGCAAAUAAGGCAAUGGUGAGACGCUUUGCCUUGAUUGGAGGGACCACACUGGAGGUGCGAGUCCGCCGUGUAAU